ACACAAUCGCCAAGUCGCCAACCCCACCCCCUCCUCUCUCCCGGGGCCCCCGCAAAACCCCCCAAAACCUUCUCUUUCUCUACAAGAAUCCCUUCUUUCUGUUGCAAUUUCACACAUCUCUUUAUCUCUCUACUCUUUCUCUCUCUAUAACUACACACAACUCCAAGAAAAGAAAAAGAUUCCUUUUAAAACUCUUCCAUUUUAAUCUACAUUGAUCACUUUUGUUGUGCUUUCGUUGAACCGUUUAUGGCAUUGAUAUAAAAACAGAGGUUUUUCUAUUGAAUUUACAGUAUUCUGAAUUCAAAAUUCAGUUUUUUCUGAAUUUGGGGGUUUCCAUUUACUGCUGAAAUAUUGGGGUUUUUUUUUGGUUCAAUCUUGAUUUUUACUGUUGUUUGUUUGAGUGUGUAAAAAAGGAAAUGAAGGAUGUUUUCCUGGCUGGUAAGGACGGUAUCAGCAUGUUUUCGGCCAUUGAGUCGAUAUGUCCCUAUGAGCAAGGAUGAAGAGGAUGUUUUUGUGCGAGGUGAAGAUGAUGUGCUUUUAUGGUGUAGAGACCUUGAGAAACAUUCAUGUGGGGAGUUUUCUUUUGCUGUAGUCCAAGCUAAUUCAGUACUUGAAGAUCAUAGCCAAGUUGAUACAGGUCGUGAAGCUACUUUUGUUGGGAUUUAUGAUGGACAUGGUGGCCCUGAGGCUUCAAGAUUUGUCCGUGAUCACCUUUUCCUGCAUUUAAUAAGGCUUGCCCGAGAAAAUGGAACAAUAGAUGAAGAAGUGCUUAAAAAUGCGUUCGCUGCAACUGAAGUUGGCUUUCUUUCUCUUGUGAGAAGGGCAUUUGGUAUUACACCAUUAAUUGCGACAAAGGGUUGCUGCUGUCUGGUUGGUGUUAUCUGGAAAAGGACGUUGUAUGUUGCUAACCUUGGUGAUUCUAGAGUGGUAUUAGGUCAUAUAGAGAGAUCAAAUAAAAUUUUUGCUGAGCAAUUGACCAAGGAUCAUAAUGCCAGUAUCGAGGAGGUUAGGAAGGAACUGAUGUCGUUGCACCCAGACGAUUCACGCAUUGUGGUUAAUGUCAAUGGAGCAUGGCGUGUUAAAGGCAUCAUACAGGUAUCUAGAUCAAUUGGAGAUGCAUAUCUGAAGAAGCCAGAGUUUGCUGUUGGUCCAGCUCACCCACGAUUCCAUCUUAAAGAACCACUUAUUCGGCCAGUGCUAAGAGCUGAUCCAUCUGUAUGUUCAAGAAACUUACAACCCGGUGAUAGAUUUCUUAUAUUUGCUUCUGACGGGCUGUGGGAACUCAUAAGUAAUCAAAAGGCUGUCGAGAUUGUGCAUAAUAACCCUAGAGAGGGCAUCGCAAGAAGACUUAUUAUAUCAGCCCUGGAUGAGGCCGCAAGGAGAAGGAAGUUGAAGUACGAUGACCUUAAGAAGUAUGACAAGGGUGCGAGGAGGGCCUUUCAUGAUGAUAUAACAGUUGUUGUCAUCUUUAUAGAUCAUGAGAUGUUGGAAGGAAAACAAUCUGUGCCUGAACUGUCAGUUCGAGGAUUUAUAGAUACUCAUGGACCAUCAGAUUUCAAUAUCCUCCAAGAGGUUGCUAUGAAGACAAAUUCUCUCAAGUGAAACAUACCAAACAAGUUGUUGGCUCUUCUUCUUUUCUAAGGAAGCCCGGGUGCAGGAAGUUUCUGACGCCCCCCUUUUCGCUUUGUUUUCCAAUUUACAGUUGACAUACAGUCCAGAUGAACGGCAAGACUAUCAAGUUACCUGCUUUACACAUGCCCCCACCCCUAGGUCAUUGGCGACCUACUUGCUCUAAAGUUUUGAUGUACACAAAUUUUCUGUACAAGACACGCUGAGAAAACUGCCUUCUGUUGUUUGUGUACCGCAUAUCUGUCAAAGUAAGGCCAUAAAAGUAGGCAUUGUGAUUGAAAAUCAGGGGUGCUUAACUGUCUUGCAUGUAAUCUUGACUUGCUGCACAGCAUAAGCUUGUCGCCGCGGAAGGGGUAUUUGACACUUUGGCGUGCAUUUUGCUUGCCGGAUUCGCGUUGUGAUCGAAAAAGCAACGUAUGCUGUUUCAGAUUCGUGCACAUGAAACACCACAUUUUUGUCAUUAAACAAUGGAGUAUCUUGUAAGGAUUUCCAACUUGUUAUAAAAGCAGCUAGGCAGAAACUCAAGCUGCUGCUGCAUUCCUCUCUGUGCACAUGCACAUGCACAUGCACAUACACACCCCAGGAGGCUUUAUCAAUCUUCUCCCUCUUUCUGAUAAUACCCAUGAACAUGUUUGUCUGGAUUUGUAAUAAGCUAUAGCAAUUCAGUUGCAUACUCUUCUAUCUUUAUGAAAAUUUUGAGUU